GGGGGCACUCCGGGGGGGGCGGGGGUUUGGGUUUGGGGGUGCGGAUGUGGGGUUGGGAUUUGGGGUCGGGCUAUGGGGCGCAUGUGGGGUAUCUAUGGGGCAGCCAUGGGGCGGCUAUGGGGUGCGAUGGAGCACUGUGGGGCGCACUCACGAGUAGCUGUGAGGCUGGGGAACCUAUGGGGGACUUAUAGGGUAUCUAUGGGGCGCUGUGGGGCUCACUGUGGGGCGCCCACGAGUAGCUGUGAUGCCUAUGGGUCGCUAUAGGGUAUCUCUGGGUCGCUAGGGGGAGCUGUGGGGCUCUAUGGGGCGCUCACCAGUAGCUGUGAUGCUGUGGUACCUAUGGGGUACCUAUGAGGCUCUAUGGGUCGCUCACGAGUAGCUGUGGUGGCUAUGGGGCGCUAUGGGCGCUGUGUGUCGCUAUAUGGUGCCGCUGGGGGGCGCUCACGAGUGGCUGUGAUGCCUAUGGAUGCCUAUGGGGUGGGUAUGUAUGUAUGUAUGCGCCGCCAGGUGCCGCUGGGGGGCGCUCACGAGUAGCUGUGAUGGCUAUGGGGCUCUAUAGGUCGCUGUGUGCCGCUGGGGGGCGCUCACGAGUGUCUGUGAUGCCUAUGGGGUUAUGUAUGUAUGUAUGUAUGUAUGUAUGUGCCGCGCUGUGCCGCCAGGGGGCGCUCACGAGUAGCUGUGAUGCCUAUGGGGUUAUGUAUGUAUGUAUGUAUGUAUGUGCCGCGCUGUGCCACCGGGGGGCGCUCACGAGUGGCUGUGAUGGCUAUGGGGCUCUAUGGGGCGCUGUGUGUUGCCAUGUGCCGCUGGGGGGCGCUCACGAGUAGCUGUGAUGCCUAUGGAUGCCUAUGGGGUGGGUAUGUAUGUAUGUAUGUGCCGCG
ensembl:lncRNA